rnacentral:rRNA from 1 species
UCCAGACUCCUACGGGAGGCAGCAGUAGGGAAUCUUUCACAAUGGGCGAAAGCCUGAUGGAGCAACGCCGCGUGCAGGAUGAAGGCCUUCGGGUUGUAAACUGCUUUUAUAAGCGAGAAAUAUGAUGGUAACUUAUGAAUAAGGAUCGGCUAACUACGUGCCAGCAGCCGCGGUAAUACGUAGGGGGCGAGCGUUAUCCGGAUUCACUGGGUGUAAAGGGAGCGUAGACGGCCAUGCAAGCCAGGGGUGAAAGCCCGGGGCCCAACCCCGGGACUGCCCUUGGAACUGUGCGGCUAGAGUGCGGGAGGGGCAGGCGGAAUUCCUGGUGUAGCGGUGAAAUGCGUAGAUAUCAGGAGGAACACCGGCGGCGAAGGCGGCCUGCUGGACCGCGACUGACGUUGAGGCUCGAAAGCGUGGGGAGCGAACAGGAUUAGAUACCCCAGUAGGA